AAAUUGAAGAGUUUGAUCAUGGCUCAGAUUGAACGCUGGCGGCAGGCCUAACACAUGCAAGUCGAGCGGCAGCGGGAAAGUAGCUUGCUACUUUUGCCGGCGAGCGGCGGACGGGUGAGUAAUGCCUGGGGAUCUGCCCAGUCGAGGGGGAUAACUACUGGAAACGGUAGCUAAUACCGCAUACGCC
rnacentral:rRNA from 1 species